rnacentral:rRNA from 1 species
GACGAACGCUGGCGGCGUGCUUAACACAUGCAAGUCGAACGGCAAGGCCCUGCUUUUGUGGGGUGCUGGAGGGGCGAACGGGGGAGUAACACGUGAGUAACCUGCCCUUGACUUUGGGAUAACUUCAGGAAAGUGGGGCUAAUACCGGAUAGGAUCUCCUGCUGCAUGGUGGGGGUUGGAAAUUUUCGGCGGUUGGGGAUGGACUCGCGGCUUAUCAGCUUGUUGGUGGGGUAGUGGCUUACCAAGGCUUUGACGGGUCGCCGGCCUGAGAGGGUGACCGGCGACAAUGGGACUGAGAUACGGACCAGACGGCUACGGGAGGCAGCAGGGGGGAAUAUUGCACAAUGGGCGGAAGCCUGAUGCAGCAACGCCGCGUGCGGGAUGACGGCUUGCGGGUUGUAAAACGCUUUCGCUUGUGACGAAGCGUGAGUGACGGUAAUGGGUAAAGAAGCACCGGCUAACUACGUG